UUAGAGAACUCCUAGACCCCAGCACUGA
rnacentral:piRNA from 1 species